ACCCGCUGAAUUUAAGCAUAUAAGUAAGCGGAGGAUAAGAAACUAAAUAGGAUUCCCUCAGUAAUGGCGAAUGAACAGGGAUCAGCUCAGCAUGGAAAUUGGGGCCCUCGGCUUGAAUUGUAGUCUCGAGAUGCAUCGCCAAUGGAGGCGCAGAUGUAAGCCUCUUGGAAAAGAGCAUCAACGAGGGUGAGAGUCCCGUUUGUCAUCUGCAGUCCCCCAUGCACGGCGUGCCUUCUAAGAGUCGCGUUCCUCGGAAUUGGAGCGUCAAUUGGGUGGUAAAUUUCAUCUCAAGCUAAAUAUUGGUUCGAGACCGAUAGCAAACAAGUACCAUGAGGGAAAGGUGAAAAGGACUUUGAAAAGAGAGUUAAAAGUGCCUGAAAUUGCUGAAAGGGAAGCGAAUGGAACCAGUGUUGCUUGGCGAGAUUGUCGUACGUAUUCGCGUGUGGUGGUUCUUGCCUUGUGUGUCAACGCCAGUUCGCGAUCGAGGAAAACUCCAAGGACAUGGUAGCCUACCCCUGGGUGGGUGAAUGUGCUUGGUAGAACUCAUUUGCGGACUGUUUCCUUCGUGUCUGGUUGCAGUGCUGCUUGAUCCUCUGUUGGCGCUUGGGGUGGGAGCUCGCUCCUCACACCCUGCCCUUCUAAGGUUCUCAGCGCUUCCCUGACACAUAGACGAUGACUAAAUGGUUCUAUUCGACCCGUCUUGAAACACGGACCAAGG
rnacentral:rRNA from 1 species